rnacentral:rRNA from 1 species
UACACACCGCCCGUCACACCAUGGGAGUCGAUUGCUCCAGAAGUGGCUAAUCCAACCCGCAAGGGAGGCAGGCCCCCAAGGAGUGGUUGGUAACUGGGGUG